rnacentral:rRNA from 1 species
GACAGAGGGUGCAAACGUUGUUCGGAAUUACUGGGCGUAAAGCGCGUGUAGGCGGCGACGCAAGUCGGAUGUGAAAGCCCAUGGCUCAACCAUGGAAGUGCACCCGAAACUGCGUCGCUAGAGUCUCGGAGAGGAAGGUGGAAUGCUUGGUGUAGAGGUGAAAUUCGUAGAUAUCAAGCGGAACACCGGUGGCGAAGGCGGCCUUCUGGACGAGUACUGACGCUGAGACGCGAAAGCGUGGGUAGCAAAC